GCUUUCGUGGUGUAACGGUAACACACUCGGCUCGUAUUUCGAGAGUUUUAGGUUCGAGUGCUGGCGAGAGCA
rnacentral:tRNA from 1 species